AGAGUUUGAUCCUGGCUCAGGACGAACGCUGGCGGCGUGCCUAACACAUGCAAGUCUACGGGAAAUCUCCUGCUUGCAGGAGAGAGUAUAGUGGCGAACGGGUGAGUAACGCGUAGGUAAUCUACCUCUGGGUUGGGGAUAACCUCGAGAAAUCGGGGCUAAUACCGAAUGAUGUCCUACCUAUUAGUUUAGGUAGGAUUAAAGAUGGCUUCGGCUAUCGCCCAGAGAUGAGCCUGCGUCCCAUUAGCUAGUUGGUAGGGUAAUGGCCUACCAAGGCGACGAUGGGUAGCCGGCCUGAGAGGGUGGUCGGCCACACUGGCACUGAGACACGGGCCAGACUCCUACGGGAGGCAGCAGUGAGGAAUAUUGGGCAAUGGCCGCAAGGCUGACCCAGCGACGCCGCGUGAGGGAAGAAGCUCUACGGAGUGUAAACCUCUGUUAGGAGGGACGAAAGGCACCGAUGUGAAUAAUAUCGGUGAGAUGACGGUACCUCCAGAGAAAGCCCCGGCUAACUCCGUGCCAGCAGCCGCGGUAAUACGGGGGGGGCGAGCGUUGUCCGGAAUCACUGGGCGUAAAGGGCACGUAGGCGGACAAGUAAGUCGAAGGUGAAAUCCUAUCGCUUAACGAUAUGGACUGCCUUCGAUACUGCUUGUCUUGAGUGCGGGAGAGGGAGGCGGAAUUCCCGGUGUAGCGGUGAAAUGCGUAGAUAUCGGGAAGAACACCAGUAGCGAAGGCGGCUUCCUAACCCGUAACUGACGCUGAAGUGCGAAAGCGUGGGGAGCGAACAGGAUUAGAUACCCUGGUAGUCCACGCCGUAAACGAUGGGCACUAGGUGUUGGCCGAGCACCUAAAUUG
rnacentral:rRNA from 1 species